ACCCCGGUUCUUACAUCACUGUUGGAGGCGUGGAGACAUGAUAGCCGGUAGCUUCAGAGACUGUAAAGCAUGGCAGGCAGAAGGUUUGCCUCUAUCCACCACCAGUGACGAGGCCUGCAAACUGUACGACGCUAUACUUACUCAGAUAGUGACCUGGCGUAAUGAUGAGUCCCUGGGGGGGAUUGAGGGCUGUCUGUCCCGACUGGUGGCUGCUGACCCCAGCUUUGUAAUGGGCCAUGUGGUCAGUGCGGGCCUGGAGCUGAUUGGAGGCAGUAGUUCGGUACUGCGGAACGAGCAGCUGGCCAAAACUGUGAGGAGGACCCUGGAGCUGGCCCAGCAGCAGGAGCUCACGCCCAGAGAGAGACUCCAUAUCAGGGCUCUGGAACAGCUAUCCAGAGGAUGUCUGUCCAAGGCCAGUGACCUCUGGGACGAGAUCCUGGUGUCAUACCCCACAGACAUGCUGGCCAUCAAGUUUGCACAGGUUAACCUUUUCUUCCUGGGUUACAAGACACAAAUGAGAGACACGUUGGCACACGUUCUACCCCACUGGAAGCCCCACAUGCCUUUGUACAGCUACCUUAAAGGGCUGUAUGCAUUUGGACUGCUGGAGACAAAUUUUUAUGACAAGGCAGAAAAACUUACAAAAGAGGCCCUGGCACUGACCCCAGAUGAUGCUUGGAGUGUGCACACCAUGGCACAUGUGCACCACAUGAGAGCUGAACUGGACCAGGGCCUGAGGUUCAUGGAGACAAAUGAGAAGGACUGGAAGGGAGCUGAUAUGCUGGCCUCUCAUAACUACUGGCAUUGGGCUCUGUACCACAUUGAAAAGGGGGAACAUGAGGCAGCUCUGAAGAUAUAUGAUACUCAGGUUGCGCCACGGUGCAUAUCUAGUGGGGCCAUGCUUCCAACAGUCGACUGCUGUUCCAUGCUCUAUAGACUGGAGAUGGAGGGCAUGAGUAUGAAGGAACGCUGGCAGAAGCUGUUUAGGGUGAUCCAGGCUCACUCAGAUGACCAUGUGCUGCUCUUCAAUGACCUGCACUUCCUCAUGGCAUCACUAGGUGCCAAGGAACGUGAAGCAUCCCACAGGCUAUUGGGAACCCUGCAGGAGCUGGCAGAGGACCCUGGAGAACACCAUUUACGGCAGCUGGCGAGGCCCAUUGGAGUGCCCAUGUGCCAGGCUCUGGUGGAGUAUGAUUGCGGCAACUGUAACCGUGCAGUUGAACUUCUGCUGCCAAUCCGGUACCGCUUCCAUGAGAUAGGGGGCAGUGAUGCACAGAGAGAUGUCCUCAAUCAGCUUCUCAUUCAUGCUGCAAUGAAAUCUGAGGAAGAACAGCAUCACAAACUAGCCAGACGCCUACUCACGGAGCGAGACGCCGCUCAGCCCAACUCCCCGCUGACGCACCGACUUAUCCUGAGGGCCAGUGGUCUGCAGGGAUAGACAGAGGACAGUCUCCUGUGCCAGAAAGACAAUGAUAUCUGCAGCAUCAGUGAUUUGGGUCCCAUGGAUGACUGAUUGACUUUGCAAAAUAACCUGGCCUAAUGAUACAUGCUUUUUAUGAUGAAAUGAGCAUGAUAACAUUUGCAGCAUUUUCCAGGAAAAGAUACAGGACAACUUAAUGAAAACAAUUUAGGAAACCAAAAUACAAAAAUCACCCUAAGAAGUCCUUUGUAAAAAAAGAAAGAAAAAAAACAUUAGCAGCAAGCCUGUAACUGAAAUCACAAUGAUGCUAUCAAAUGUAACUCCAGCAUAUAAACAGCUGAGAAACACAUUUCAGUAGUACUGAAAAUAUUACUUUUCAAUGAAUAUGUUGCCAGAAAGCAAUACAUUAAAUUCACUGUAAUGUUAAGAUUGCAAUUAGUAAAAUAUAUUUUGAUGACAAUUAUAAGGGAGGGGGUAAGGGGGGGUCUUUAACAUCAAGAAGAGUUUUCUUUUCCUUUGUGAGACUGGAGACUGGGGUGGAUACAGGUAUAAAUGCAAUUAGUGGUAAGACCACUCCCCAAAUGAUUAGAUUUGCCUGAAAUAUAAAUAAUACAUACACAUAUGGUUCUUGGCAGUAUUUUUAUUACAAACUCAGUCUCUCACAGGAAUUUUUCAGAAUCAUUAUCAAUUAGUUGUCAGCAAAUCCUCAUUCAUUUUGUAAGUAACAGGCACAAGACAGGAAAUAACCCAUCACAGGGCACACUCACACAUACAUACAUUUUGGGAACUCCAAUUCACCUCAGCCUGUUUUUGGACUUUGUGUGGGGGGGCGGGGAUUCAAUGGUGUGAGGCAACUGCCAACCACUGCACCACCAUGCUGCCCUUUGGCAGCAAUCCUUUAAAAGAAAAUGAUAACUGCAAAGUAUUCAACCCCUGUGCUCUGGACGCUCCAGAUGAAAGAGGAAAAAGAAAGACAGAAAACAUUGCCUUACACAAUCAGUACCACUAUCAUUGAAAAGACAAUACCCACCCACCCUCUCCCAUUUACGAGGGAUUUUAUAUGCAAUUUGAAUUUAUUGGCUUUAUUUAUAACAUAAUCACAUAAAAACAACUUAAGUUAUUAUUACUAGGAGACAGAAGAAGUAUUGUUAUACUGUAGAGCCCUGAACAGACAUAGAGAGCAAAAGAGCCUUAAAUGGAGAUUUGAAAGUAAAAGAGUGUCCUGAGGCUGGGAGUAUUUUACAAAUAUUCAUUCCUCACAUUCUACAAAGGGGUGGUGCAGUGGUUUUGCACUGUUGCCUCACAUCUCUGGAAUCAGGGUUCAAGCCUCUGCCAAUGGCUCCAAAUGUGUGUUCACAUGUUUAUACUGUGUUGUCAUAGGGUUUCCUCCAGUUAGUCUGCUCCCCACCCCAAAUUACAAAAACAUAUUGAGAUUAAUUGGAGUUAUCAAAUUGUUUGUGUGAAUGCGCUCUGCAAUGUGUUGGUGACAAAUUCUGGGUUGUUCUCUGCUUUGCGCCCAUAGCCUCCAGACUCCCUACUAUACUGAGUAGGAUAAGCAGUUUCAGAAAAUGGAUGGAUUCUACAGAAGGCAUCCCAGGAAAACUGAUGACAGGAGGCAUUAAAUGCCACUGCUCACAUUUUUUUUCUGUGGGGGAGCUUCCAAAACUUGAAUUUGACUUAAAUUAAAGUAAAAUCAGUGGAGUCAAACUUGUUGAGAUCUGGGACAGCACGAUGCCUACAAUCUGAGGGAAGACAAGAAGCAGCAUGUCAGGAUGUUUCGGCACUUACAGAGCCACUUCCUGUCUGAAUACACUACCUGAGGGAGGGCAAGGCCCAGAGCCAGGGCACCGACAAGCAGGAGGUGGGACUCGAUCCAUAUUACGGCCCUGUCUGCACACCCCACUGAGUUGAUAGACUUGGCGGCUUCCAGGUACUUCAGUGUCUGGACCCCAAACCCACACAUAGUGUUGAUGACAGUCUGGAGCAUGAAGAAAGAGACCUGCGUGACAAGCUUUAAUACUCUAAGUUUGUUCCUACCAGAAGGAACAGAAGGAGUAUGGGACUGGUUGGGGGAUGCAUCCAGGAAUAAACAAGAGCUGGUGAUCCAUCAUUUGGCUACAGUGACAAACCACUAAGUCAGUGAAUAAGCUCAAUCAUGCUAGACAUCUUCACUUAGCAGUUUUUUGUUCCCCUGAGACCUUUGCCUUUUUAAAAAGCUCACUAAAGCAAUUAGCUGGAUACACAAUGAUUACUCAGUAUUUUCUUUUGAGAGAUGGUGAGGGUGUCUUUGAGCUAUUGUUUGUUGUCACUUGUGUUGUCCUGGCAUUAACCUGGGUCACAGGCGACUGAGGGUCGUCACAAUACUAGGGGCAACCGUGCUUCUUAUAUCAUUGAAUCAAAAGGGGGCAAAGAUUUCCUUAUUACAACAGUUCACAGACUGUGUCUGAUGCUUUGGGUUUCAAUCAAUUAAUAAAGAAAAUCUGGGCCUUC